GGAGGGCAAUGGGGCGGCAGGGAGGUAUGCUGCCGCCCCGAAGGCUUUUAACAGUAAGGAGCACCGCAGGGGAAAAGCGGCGGGAGGAUCAUCACUACAAAUGUAAAUUGUGCAGCUCAGAAAAUUAUCGUGCAGAUCCUUUGUGGAGUGGAAAGCUCUUCAUAAAUCUUAAGUAGCUACAAUUAAUAUCCUGGAAGCACUUCUUACAUUAUCUGAAAGCAGCCUAGUGAGGCAGGCCUGUAUAAUGAUUCCCGUAUGAUAUGUCUUAGAAAUGCAAAUUCUUGUUUUAUAUCAUCAUGGGAAAAGUACCAGAAGACAUUGUAAGGAAGCAGGAGAUAAUGAUUUUUUGUUACAAACCAACCAUUUUAUGAUCUAUGUGUUCCUGCAGAUAUGUUAAGCUCCCUGUUUUUUCAGUGGUUGCUUAGGUUUUAAGAAACAUUUAUUAAGUGGCAGGAAGAAAAAACAUCAUUGUACGUUUUUCAAAAUGAAAGCCCAGUCCUGUAUUAGACACUAGUUUCCUUUCUACAGAACUAAUAAUGCUCGUUUUAAAAAGAUUGUGUAUGUUGCUUUAUUUGUUUCCAGCUAAUGAAAAGUCAUAUGAGCUCUCCUG